rnacentral:rRNA from 1 species
AACGAACGCUGGCGGCAGGCUUAACACAUGCAAGUCGAGCGAGACCUUCGGGUCUAGCGGCGGACGGGUGAGUAACGCGUGGGAACGUGCCCUUCUCUACGGAAUAGCCCCGGGAAACUGGGAGUAAUACCGUAUACGCCCUUUGGGGGAAAGAUUUAUCGGAGAAGGAUCGGCCCGCGUUGGGUUAGGUAGUUGGUGGGGUAAUGGCCCACCAAGCCGACGAUCCAUAGCUGGUUUGAGAGGAUGAUCAGCCACACUGGGACUGAGACACGGCCCAGACUCCUACGGGAGGCAGCAGUGGGGAAUCUUAGACAAUGGGGGCAACCCUGAUCUAGCCAUGCCGCGUGAGUGAUGAAGGCCUUAGGGUUGUAAAGCUCUUUCAGCUGGGAAGAUAAUGACGGUACCAGCAGAAGAAGCCCCGGCUAACUCCGUG